AAGAAUGAAGAGUCACGCAUUAAAUAUGAGAAAAUCAUUAAGAUGAUAGGUUGUUGGAUUGAAAUAUGCGUAGCAAAAAUAAAAUUUUCAGAUUUAGAAAUAUGACUAUCAAAAGUAGAUGAAUGGAGUAAAUUAAACAGAAAGAGUGUACUGAACCUCUAUCAAUCAUAAAUACUCCAUUUAAUGCUCCAUUUCCUCGAAAAAAAUAAUGCUCCAUUUCCUCGAAAAAAUAAUGCUCCAUUUAUGUGCUAAAAUGAACUAAUAGUAAUGGAAUCUCAAAAAAUUACCCAUGCGUUUAACUAUUCUAAGCAAAUAUUUUUUUCCCAGAGAGAGAGAGAGAGAGAGAGAGAGAGAGAGAGAGAGAGAGAGAGAGAGAGAGAGAGAGAGAGAGAUGUGGUCACGUGCAAGUUGCAACUAUACGUUGCUAGCUAGCUAGAACCCAUACGGAUCGAUGGAACGAAUUUAAAGAGGUCAUCCGCCACCAGCACGUACAUAGCUACACGUUUGUUGACCGCCCCCUUGACCUUCAACGAAUUCCACCGGUUUUAGAUAGACAUGGUUAGAUGUAUUAGUCACUUCGUUAGUUUACUCUAAAGUUUAUAUCGAUAAUGCUAUAUAUAAAUGUAGUAUUAUAUACCGUAUGUUUCAAAUCUCAUUUUCCACAGCUUUGAUUUUUUCCCAAACACAUAAAAUAAUUGCAUGUCAAUAUACUAGGAGAGAGCAAUAUUUAGUACACAAUGUUACACAGCUCUAACAAAUAGAUUGUAAUGAUUGGCUUGUAAGUUAUAGGUAAGGAUUAAGUCAUAAGAAGAGGUUGUUCCAUAGUUGUUGUCAUAUAAGUGUUUUGUGGUUUGGAUAAAAUUUCCUUUCACUUGAGACAAGUUAUUUUUGCCAUGUUUGCAGUUAAUGUUGUUGCCAUUUCUCAAGAACCGGCGAGAGAAAAACAUUUUAUCUCUACCGAGUGUGCAAGAUAUAUAUUUAAUAUCAACACAAGAGAAAAUAUAGACACACUAGCUAAUUUAUCACACAUGAAAUAAAAUUAUAUGUCCAAACCAAGAGGAAAAAAAACAUGGAACAGUAGGGCACUGAUGGCGCCGGGAAAGCAAAGCUAUUGGCUGCAAGCAUGACCGUGGUUGUCGGCCGGCCGGCGACCUAAAGGGUGAGAGCUGAGCUAGUUUGGAGGAGUAGCAGAGGGUAGUUGACUGCUGGGCCGGAAAUAAAUGAGAGGAGAAGGAGAAGACGACUCAACAGUCAACAAAUUAAGCGAAGAUGUGUACUCGAUCCCUUCGUUCAAAAUAAAUCGAUGGCAUAUUCUAAUAAACGAAUCUAAACAUACUCACAUCUUAAUUAAUGGAAGUCUAGACAUGGUAAGAGAAAUUAAUAUACCGAUCAAAAUUGUACGUACGUAUGUAAUCGUGUGUAGAUGACCGUGUCAAUGCGUCCUUUGCUAACAUGUGAAACGUAGUAGCAGAUCAGGAUGUAUACGUAUAUAUACUUUCUAAAGAAAUAGAAGCCCAUUUAUUUCACCAAACUUCUUUUUCGGAUUUGCUAUCCUACUGUCAACAGUUUUCAGGGAUGAAAACUUUUAAAUUUUAAACCGUCCAAUAUGCUUUGAGAUUUGUGCUGGUGGAGGAAAAUGGAAAAAAAAAUCAGAUGCUCACAUCAAGGAUUGAACUCGAGACCUGCAGCUUGCAUGCUCAUUCAACUAACCAGUUGCUCCAUCGUAAUUUUUCAAUGUUAUAUCUGAGUUACAGAUUAUUUAUAUUGUAGUUACGUAGUAGUUAAAAUGUAACUACAUUGCAAUUACACAGUAGUUACAUCUGAAAGUUUUUCAUUGAAAAAACUGUCGAAUGUUGUAUAGCUUCUUCCCCCUUUUUUUUUCACCGAAUCCCUUAACCCAAAAGAAUUUCUAGCUAGGCUCCUUUUGCACCCCCCCCCCAACUAGUUAGAAUAAUCUUUUAGUUUUGCAAUAAAAUUUGCUAGGGUUGAUAGUGCAUUAUAACUAAUUAUAUCUCAAUAUCUUUUAUGUUGAAUAAUCCCACAUUAGUUGUGGAAGGAUAAGGGAUCUAAUAUAUAAGUGGAUAAGCCUCUCACCUUAUUGGCUAGAUUUUAGGAUGGGAAAGACUCUUUACGAUCCUAUAUUAUACUUUUUACUAUUUAUAUAAGUUGAAAGAACUGAGACUGCUUUAGACAUAGAGGUUUUAAAUUGCAAGCAAACAGUCAAAGAAAAUUUUGAUAGUUGUAUCAUCUAGGACUACAAAAUUUCAGCAUAAAGUACAACUAGUCUAAAGAGAAACAAAGAAAAGAAAUUAUACCGAGUAGUAAGUGAAUCAUUUUUAAGUGAUCCAACAGAAUAAUUUAGAAAGUAAAAUAGAUUUUUUUUUCAUUUUGAAAGAACUCCUGGAAAACCCCAUAAAAAUGCAAAUGCCAUAGAGCAAACAGCAGCAUGCAUGCAAGAUCUAAUAUAGUUUAAUGCUGCUAAAAAUAUCUGAUUUUCAUGAGUGCGUGUUGGUUGGGCAGAUUAGCUGAUGAUGAUGCUGCCUAGAUAGAUAGCCACACCACCUGUAGCUGUCAUGAGGAUAACAUGACAUAUGUACGCAUGAUGAAUAUGGAGUAUGGUUGUUAGGUUGGAGAGAUGAUCCACCACAAUUGACAAAUUGGAGCCGUGGUAAAUUUGCUUGCGUGAGCAUAUAUCUUGUAUGGAAUGGAUAUUGUUCCUUCUUGAGCCAUAAAUUUAAGAGGAAAACCCUGAGGCGUUGGGACGUUGUUGCAAAAUGUCUUUCUUCUCUCUUUGAUGGUGUUCUUCAGUGAAAACUAUGUCCUGAUCUCCUAGAUGGGUAGCGGCGAUGCUCUCAACGUCAUAUCCUCCCUAGAGAUCAUGCAUGUGCAAGACCUAGAAGAAUUAAACGACCUUUGAUUUUAGUUUGGCAAAUAAUGCAUGGAAUCCAGCGGCUAUAUACGCUUCCUACAAGAAGAAGUUUUUCAAAAGAAGAAAACACACACCUAAGCUAGAAGAAGAUGGUUAGUCAUGCAAUAUUAAAUGAUCAGGUUGUUAGUUGAAGCAAAUAUGUACAGUAUUAAUAUGUGCAUGCAUAUGGGGCUGGACGGAAAAACAAGAGGAGCUAGCUGGAGUACUAUAGCUAGCAAGUCCACAUGACCACGAGAUUAAUUAGUAUAUAUGUAGAAAAAGGUUUGGUCAAAUACAUUCAGAAGAAGAUAUAAUAUCUAUGUAUGCGUUCCAAAAAUAAUUAACAGGUUUAAAUUAAUGUUUA